AGAAGUUUGGGCCCAUUCUUUUCUAUCGUUUUUUUCUUUUUCCUUCAUGCCCUGAGUUACCCAGUUGGGAAGUAACAGGAAUUAUACUAUAAGAGAUAUGAUACGUACAGUCGUGAAGUGCGCAAACGUUGUGCAGUAAAUUUAAGAAAUAAUUGUAAAGGAUAGUGCUACUAU